rnacentral:rRNA from 1 species
GGACCCGCACAAGUAGUGGAGCAUGUGGUUUAAUUCGAAGAUACGCGCAGAACCUUACCAACACUUGACAUGUUCGUCGCGACUUUAAGAGAUUAAAGUUUUCGGUUCGGCCGGACGAAACACAGGUGCUGCAUGGCUGUCGUCAGCUCGUGUCGUGAGAUGUUGGGUUAAGUCCCGCAACGAGCGCAACCCUUACUUUAGUUGCCAUCAUUAAGUUGGGCACUCUGAAAGAACUGCCAGUGAUAAGCUGGAGGAAGGUGGGGAUGACGUCAAGUCCUCAUGGCCCUUACGUGUUGGGCUACACACGUGCUACAAUGGUAUCUACAACAGGAAGCAAAACUGCGAGGUUAAGCAAAUCCUUAAAAGAUACCUCAGUUCGGAUUGCACUCUGCAACUCGAGUGCAUGAAGCUGGAAUUACUAGUAAUCGU